CGCAUCUGUGCAUGCAGCAUAUCAAUAAGCGGAGGAAAAGAAACUAACAAGGAUUCCCUUAGUAACGGCGAGUGAAGCGGGAAGAGCUCAAAUUUGAAAUCUUCAAGGUUUUACCUUGACGAAUUGUAGUUUAAAGAAGUGUUUUCUGUUGAAGUUUUGGUAAAAGUUCUUUGGAAUAGGACAUCAUAGAGGGUGAGAAUCCCGCAUUUGACCAUUAUUUUCAGCUGUGUGAUACACUUUCAAAGAGUCGGAUUGUUUGGGAAUGCAGUCCAAAAUGGGUGGUAAAUUUCAUCUAAAGCUAAAUAUUGGCGAGAGACCGAUAGCGAACAAGUACCGUGAGGGAAAGAUGAAAAGAACUUUGAAAAGAGAGUUAAACAGUACGUGAAAUUGUCAAAAGGGAAGCGUUUGACACCAGUGUUGUUUUCUCGAAAAUCAAUUAAAAAGAGUUAGAUUUUGUUGUGUAUUGACCUUAACAGCUUGCAUUUCAAUUUUCUUGCUUUUUUUAAUGCACUUUUCGUUUAACAAGUCAACAUCAGUUUCUUUUGUUGUAAAAAGGUCAUUGGAAGGUGGCUUUCUUUUCGGAGAAAGUGUUUAUAGCCUUUGACUCCUGCAAUCGGAGAGACUGAGGUCUGCAGCGUAGAUCCUUCGGGGUUAGAUACAUUUGUGCUAAGUUAUAGCUUUUUAUAGACAACUUGUUGACUAUGAUUAGUCUUGUAGCUUACUCGCUUAUGCUAUUUUACCUACGCUUAGGAUGUUGAUGUGAUACUGCGAGCA
rnacentral:rRNA from 1 species